GCCCCUGUGACGCAAUUGGCAGACGUGUCCGGCUUAAAACUGGAAUCUUGCGAGUUCGACUCUCGCCGGGGGUA
rnacentral:tRNA from 2 species